rnacentral:rRNA from 1 species
GAUGAACGCUGACAGAAUGCUUAACACAUGCAAGUCUUUGGCGAAGCUGUGCUUGCACAGCCUAGCCAAGGCGGACGGGUGAGUAACGCGUAAGGAACUUGCCCUGCAGUCAGGGAUAACAGACGGAAACGACUGAUAAGACCUGGUAAAGUCAGGCGGACUCAUGUCCAGCCUGAUGAAAAGAGAUGCUGCAGGAGAGCCUUGCGUCCUAUUAGCUUGUUGGUGGGGUAACGGCCCACCAAGGCGAUGAUAGGUAGCCGGCCUGAGAGGGUGGACGGCCACAAGGGGACUGAUAUACGGCCCUUACUCCUACGGGAGGCAGCAGUGGGGAAUAUUGGACAAUGGGGGCAACCCUGAUCCAGCAAUUCUGUGUGCACGAUGAAGGUUUUCGGAUUGUAAAGUGCUUUCAGCAGGGAAGAAAAAAUGACGGUACCUGCAGAAGAAGCGACGGCUAAAUACGUG